GACGAACGCUGGCGGCGUGCUUAACACAUGCAAGUCGAGCGAACAAAGCUCCUUCGGGAGUGGAGUUAGCGGCGGACGGGUGAGUAACACGUGGGUAACCUGCCUUAUAGAGGGGGAUAGCCUUCCGAAAGGAAGAUUAAUACCGCAUAAGAAGUAGAAGUCGCAUGGCUUUAGCUUUAAAGGAGCAAUCCGCUAUAAGAUGGACCCGCGGCGCAUUAGCUAGUUGGUGAGGUAACGGCUCACCAAGGCGACGAUGCGUAGCCGACCUGAGAGGGUGAUCGGCCACAUUGGAACUGAGACACGGUCCAGACUCCUACGGGAGGCAGCAGUGGGGAAUAUUGCACAAUGGGCGAAAGCCUGAUGCAGCAACGCCGCGUGGGUGAUGAAGGUUUUCGGAUCGUAAAGCCCUGUCUUUUGGGACGAUAAUGACGGUACCAAAGGAGGAAGCCACGGCUAACUACGUGCCAGCAGCCGCAGUAA
rnacentral:rRNA from 1 species